GAAAUAGAUGGGACGGUCGCCCGUUAUGCGGGAGGAAAGUCCGAACUCCAUAGGGCAAGGCACCUGGAGUUAAUCCAGGGCUUGCAGAAUGAAAAUUCUGCAGGACGGAAAGUGUCACAGAAACCAUACCGCCGAGUACUCAGUUAGUAUUAACUGAGUGCUCGGUAAGGGUGAAAUGGCGGGGUAAGAGCCCACCGGUCAGAUUCCUGCAGGAAUGAUCUCUUCGGAGAUUGUGGUAACACCUGAGCCGGACAAACCCUGCCUGGAGCAAGACCAAAUAGGGAAGAACUCUUUAUGGAGCGAGGUGGCCCGCCUCGUUUUCGAAAGGAAGGACUUCCGGGUAGGUCGCGUCAGAUAAAUGACCGUCAUUUCCUCGAAAGAGGGAAACAGGAUUCGGCUUAUAUAUCUGUCUCCGGU
rnacentral:RNase_P_RNA from 1 species